AUGCCCUAGAGGGAAGGACCCCUUUGGGAACUUCUCAAGAGUGGGACCUGGGCCAAUAGCUUGACCAGCAUCUUGCUGGCAAUUCCAGGGCCCCGCUGGGCUUC
rfam:Loxodonta africana unplaced genomic scaffold scaffold_9, whole genome shotgun sequence.